rnacentral:rRNA from 1 species
CUGAACAUUGACCCUACAUGUGUAGGAUAGGUGGGAGGCUUUGAAGCACGUACGCCAGUAUGUGUGGAGCCGUCCUUGAAAUACCACCCUUGUAGUGUUGAUGUUCUAACGUCGACCCCUUAUCGGGGUUGCGGACAGUGCCUGGUGGGUAGUUUGACUGGGGCGGUCUCCUCCCAAAGAGUAACGGAGGAGCACGAAGGUGGGCUAAUCACGGUUGGACAUCGUGAGGUUAGUGCAAUGGCAUAAGCCCGCUUGACUGCGAGAAUGACAAUUCGAGCAGGUGCGAAAGCAGGUCAUAGUGAUCCGGUGGUUCUGAAUGGAAGGGCCAUCGCUCAACGGAUAAAAGGUACUCCGGGGAUAACAGGCUGAUACCGCCCAAGAGUUCAUAUCGACGGCGGUGUUUGGCACCUCGAUGUCGGCUCAUCACAUCCUGGGGCUGAAGUCGGUCCCAAGGGUAUGGCUGUUCGCCAUUUAAAGUGGUACGCGAGCUGGGUUUAGAACGUCGUGAGACAGUUCGGUCCCUAUCUGCCGUGGGCGUUGGAAGAUUGAAGGGGGCUGCUCCUAGUACGAGAGGACCGGAGUGGACGAACCUCUGGUGUUCGGGUUGUGUCGCCAGACGCAUUGCCCGGUAGCUAAGUUCGGAAUCGAUAACCGCUGAAAGCAUCUAAGCGGGAAGCGAGCCCUGAGAUGAGUCUUCCCUGAUACUUUAAGUAUCCUAAAGGGUUGUCGGAGACUACGACGUUGAUAGGUCAGGUGUGUAAGUGCUGUGAGGCAUUGAGCUAACUGAUACUAAUUGCCCGUGAGGCUUAACCAUACAACACCCAAGGGGUUU